rnacentral:rRNA from 1 species
GACGAACGCUGGCGGUGUGCUUAACACAUGCAAGUCGAACGGUAAGGCCCUUUCGGGGGUACACGAGUGGCGAACGGGUGAGUAACACGUGAGUAACCUGCCCUCAUCUCUGGGAUAACAGUCGGAAACGGUUGCUAAUACUGGAUAUGAGCUUGCAAGGCAUCUUGUGGGUUGGAAAGAUUUUUUUUUGGUUGGGGAUGGACUCGCGGCCUAUCAGCUUGUUGGUGAGGUAGUGGCUCACCAAGGCUUCGACGGGUAGCCGGCCUGAGAGGGCGACCGGCCACAUUGGGACUGAGAUACGGCCCAAACUCCUACGGGAGGCAGCAGUGGGGAAUAUUGCACAAUGGACGGAAGUCUGAUGCAGCAACGCCGCGUGCGGGAUGACGGCCUUCGGGUUGUAAACCGCUUUCAAUUGUGACGAAGCUUUUUUGUGACGGUAGCAGUAGAAGAAGCACCGGCUAACUACGUG